rnacentral:rRNA from 1 species
UAAAAACCCCGACUUCGGAAGGGGUGUAUUUAUUAGAUACAAAACCAAUGCCCUUCGGGGCUCUUUGGUGAUUCAUGAUAACUAUACGAAUCGCACGGCCUUGCGCCGGCGAUGGUUCAUUCAAAUUUCUUCCCUAUCAACUUUCGAUGUUUGGGUAUUGGCCAAACAUGGUUGCAACGGGUAACGGAGGGUUAGGGCCCGACCCCGGAGAAGGAGCCUGAGAAACGGCUACUACAUCCAAGGAAGGCAGCAGGCGCGCAAAUUACCCAAUCCCGACUCGGGGAGGUAGUGACAAUAAAUACUGAUACAGGGCCCUUUCGGGCCUUGUAAUUGGAAUGAGUACAAUUUAAAUCCCUUAACGAGGAACAAUUGGAGGGCAAGUCUGGUGCCAGCAGCCGCGGUAAUUCCAGCUCCAAUAGCGUAUAUUAAAGUUGUUGUGGUUAAAAAGCUCGUAGUUGAACCUUGGGCCUGGCUGGCCGGUCCGCCUCACCGCGUGCACUGGUCCGGCCGGGCCUUUCCCUCUGUGGAACCCCAUACCCUUCACUGGGCGUGGCGGGGAAACAGGACGUUUACUUU